rnacentral:rRNA from 1 species
AGCGCAACUGACGCUGAAGCUCGAAAGUGCGGGUAUCGAACAGGAUUAGAUACCCUGGUAGUCCGCGCGGUAAACGAUGGAUGCCCGCUGUUGGGCCAACUGGUUCAGCGGCCAAGCGAAAGCAUUAAGCAUCCCACCUGGGGAGUACGCCGGCAACGGUGAAACUCAAAGGAAUUGACGGGGGUCCGCACAAGCGGAGGAACAUGUGGUUUAAUUCGAUGAUACGCGAGGAACCUUACCCGGGCUUGAAUUGCAGAGGAAGGAUUUGGAGACAAUGACGCCCUUCGGGGCCUCUGUGAAGGUGCUGCAUGGUUGUCGUCAGCUCGUGCCGUGAGGUGUCGGCUUAAGUGCCAUAACGAGCGCAACCCCUCUCCUUAGUUGCCAUCAGGUGAAGCUGGGCACUCUGGGGACACUGCCACCGUAAGGUGUGAGGAAGGUGGGGAUGACGUCAAAUCAGCACGGCCCUUACGUCCGGGGCUACACACGUGUUACAAUGGCAGGUACAGAGAGAUGGUGUUCUGCAAAGCGCAUCAAAUCCUUAAAGCCUGUCUCAGUUCGGACUGGGGUCUGCAACCCGACCCCACGAAGCUGGAUUCGCUAGUAAUCGCGCAUCACCCAUGGCGCGGUGAAUACGUUCCCGGGCCUUGUACACACCGCCCGUCAAGCCAUGAAAGCCGGGGGCGCCUAAAGUCCGUGACCGUAAGGAGCGGCCUAGGGCGAAACUGGUAAUUGGGGCUAAGUCGUAACAAGGUA